UCUAACAGUUCUAUCUAUUUACCGGUCUUUGUCUAAGCUUGAAACCCUAAAGGCUCCCUCUUCUUCUUCGUCUUCGGCUGUCUCUACGCUUGCUCCUCCAUCCGCCUGCAUAGUCGCCGUCAGGGUUAAUCGCUAGUUUUUGGUCAUAUCUUGCCUACAACUCUUUCCAUUUCUCCGCAUUGGCUCUUUAUUUGGGAGCUUGUGCCUUGUAGAAGUAGAAAAGUCCCGCAAGCCGGUUGCCUCUUCCGACAUCCUGCUCUUCCUGAUAAGGAGCUCAUAUUUUGUUGCAAGUGACUCAAGUGUUUCGUAUUCAAAAGUUUCACGGACGUAAUCAUGUGAAGUCACCAUCAUUAACUUCACGGAUCUCAUCAUUUGAGGUGUCGCCAUCAUCUCCAAAAAUGACUAACUCGAUGCCAUUAUCAUCAUGCAAGGUACAUUUAUAUGGAAAUUGAUUUUUGGGAAAUUUGUUUCAUGAUUUUUCAUGUGCAAUUUUUGUACCUUUUCAUUGUCAAAUUCACAAGUGUGAAAAAGAUAUUAAUUGAAGUUUUUAGUACAAGAACACUUAUCUGGUUUGUAGUGAUUGAGGAUGCCUCAAUUCUACUCAUUAGUCUAGUUUUCAUCUUCUAUGCAUGAUUGGCUAAAGUACUUGAGACGAUCGAAAAAUAUAAGAUGGCGGUGCAUGUACUUGGUGUGAUAUUUCAUCAAAUGUUGGUUUUGAAUGGGAAAAGUGAUCAAGACACAUCAAAUUUUAUUCGUACUUCACAUGACUUCCAUCAUAUGCUAUAUUAGGAAUGAGGUUGAAGACAAUUCAUCAAGUUUUAUUUUGGUAAUGACAUCGACAUUUGCAAGAUCCGCUACUUCUUACUAUAAUCUUUCUAACUAGUGUGUAAACACCAAAGGAAAGAUUAUUAAUCUUAUAGUAAGAUGUAGCAAAUCUUACAAAUGCCGGUGUCAUUAUUAGGAUAAAACUUGAUGAAUUGCAUUUUACCUCAAUCCUAAUAUAGCAUAUGAUGGAAGCCAUGUGAAGUGCGAAUAGAAUUUGAUGUGUAUGAUUAGUUUUGCCAUUCAAAACCAGCUUUUUAUGGAAUAUCACGCCAAGUAGAUGCACCACCAUUUUAUAUUUUUCUAUCAUCUCAAAUACUCUAACCAGCCAUGCAUAGAAGAUGAGAACUAGACCAAUGAGUAGAAUUGAAGCAUAUCCAAUCACUACGAACAAGAUAAAUGUUCUGCACUAUUAAUUUCAAUAGAUAUUUGCUUCACACUUGUGAGCUUGACAAUGAAAAUAUAUAAAAAUUGCAAAUGAAAAAUCACGAAGCAAAUUCCCCAAAAGGUAGGCUGAGUUCGAACACCGUUUGAUGCCGUUUCACGGACGUAAUCAUGUGAAGUCACCAUCAUUCGGAUCUCAUCAUUUAGGUGUCACCAUCAUCUCCAAAAAUGACUAACUCGAUAUCAUUAUCAUCAUGCAAGUUUCACGGACGUAAUCAUGUGAAGUCACCAUCAUUCGGAUCUCAUCAUUUGAGGUGUCGCCAUCAUCUCCAAAAAUGACUAGCUCAAUGCCAUCAUUAUCAUGUAAGGUACAUUCAUAUGGAAAUUGAUUUUUGGGAAAUUUGUUUCAUGAUUUUUCAUGUGCAAUUUUUGUACCUUUUCAUUGUCGAACGCACAAGUAUGAAAAAGAUAUUAACUGAAGUUUUUAGUACAAGAACACUUAUCUAGUUUGUAGUGAUUGGAGAUGCCUCAAUUCUACUUAUUAGUCUAGUUUUCAUCUUCUAUGCAUGAUUGGCUAAAGUACUUGAGACGAUAGGAAAAUAUAAGAUGACGGUGCAUCUACUUGGUGUGAUAUUUCAUCAAAUGCUGGUUUUGAAUGGAAAAAGUGAUGAAGACACAUCAAAUUCUAUUCGUACUUAACAUGACUUCCAUCGUAUGCUAUAUUAAGAAUGAUGUUGAAGGCAAAUCAUCAAGUUUCAUCCUGGUAAUGACACCGACAUUUGUAAGAUCCGCUACAUCUUACUAUAGCCUUUCUAACUAGUGUGUAAACA